UACGUAGGAGGCAAGCGUUGUCCGGAUUUACUGGGCGUAAAGAGCGUGUAGGCGGUAGCGCAAGUCUGCUGUGAAAUCUCCUAGCUCAACUAGGAUAGGUCAGUGGAAACUGCGCAACUUGAGGACGGUAGAGGGGGGUGGAAUUCCCGGUGUAGUGGUGAAAUGCGUAGAGAUCGGGAGGAACACCAGCGGCGAAGGCGGCCCCCUGGGCCGCUCCUGACGCUGAGACGCGAAGGCCAGGGUAGCGAACGGG
rnacentral:rRNA from 1 species